GACGAACGCUGGCGGCGUGCUUAACACAUGCAAGUCGAGCGGUAAGGCCCUUUCGGGGGUACGACGAGCGGCGAACGGGUGAGUAACACGUGGGUGACCUGCCCUCAGCUCUGGGAUAAGCCUGGGAAACUGGGUCUAAUACUGGAUAUGACUCCACGGUGCAUGUCGUGGGGUGGAAAGCCUUGUGCGGCUGAGGAUGGGCCCGCGGCCUAUCAGCUUGUUGGUGGGGUGANGGCCUACCAAGGCGACGACGGGUAGCCGGCCUGAGAGGGCGACCGGCCACACUGGGACUGAGACACGGCCCAGACUCCUACGGGAGGCAGCAGUGGGGAAUCUUGCGCAAUGGGCGAAAGCCUGACGCAGCGACGCCGCGUGAGGGAGGACGGCCUGGUGUAAC
rnacentral:rRNA from 1 species